AAGAAGGAACUAUCGACCUGCUAACUCGACCCCCCAAAACUAACCACUUGGCCCUCUUA
rnacentral:tRNA from 1 species